GUGGGGAAUUUUGGACAAUGGGGGCAACCCUGAUCCAGCCAUGCCGCGUGCGGGAAGAAGGCCUUCGGGUUGUAAACCGCUUUUGUCAGGGAAGAAAUCCUUUGGGUUAAUACCUCGGAGGGAUGACGGUACCUGAAGAAUAAGCACCGGCUAACUACGUGCCAGCAGCCGCGGUAAUACGUAGGGUGCGAGCGUUAAUCGGAAUUACUGGGCGUAAAGCGUGCGCAGGCGGUUUUGUAAGACAGGCGUGAAAUCCCCGGGCUCAACCUGGGAAUUGCGCUUGUGACUGCAAGGCUGGAGUGCGGCAGAGGGGGAUGGAAUUCCGCGUGUAGCAGUGAAAUGCGUAGAUAUGCGGAGGAACACCGAUGGCGAAGGCAAUCCCCUGGGCCUGCACUGACGCUCAUGCACGAAAGCGUGGGGAGCAAACAGGAUUAGAAACCCGUGUAGUCC
rnacentral:rRNA from 1 species